AUUCUGGCAAUAGACAAGGGACUUGGCUUCCUCCAGGCAGCUGCUGUGUCAGCUUGCUAGAUAGAGUCCCUACUGGUAGGAUUAAACAAUAAAGCCUUGCUUUUGCAGUUUGGUGAAAUGUCUUCUUGGUAGUCUCUGGGAGUCUUCGAGACUUAGGCACAACAUUUUUUUGCAUUGUCCAGGAACUCCAGAGACCCUCCUCUGGACCCCAGACCUCAAAGGUUUUCAGCAUUCAGCUAGAGAGAUGGGCCAAAUUCAGGCACCACCCCAUUUCCUCCAAAAAGACUGAUGAAAAUUCCACCCACAAAAAUGACAAUGCUAGCCACUGAGCAAGCCUGGCUUUCACCUCACCUGCUUCAAGGGACUUUUCAGACCGUGGACAAGAGAACAGUGGAAUUGACUUCCUCCCCAUUUCUUGGGCUAAUGACACAUCCGAGCAUCAGGUGCUGACUACAACAUACUCCUGGAGACUGUGAGUUCUGGACUUGCUGCUGAUGUGAAUGGGUCUAGCCAAUGUGAACACUCCCUGUCUCUUCAACAGAAUCUGCAAACCAGAUACUUUGAAAGAUGCCCCAUUGCCUGAAUUCCCUCGUUGCUUUUGACUAGCAUUUCAUUGGGCCCCUGACAACAUCCCAAAGUCAGUAGGAUGUAUCACAGAAAAGAAUACAUCACCCCCUUUCCCUGGCUGAGAUGUUAAGUCAAAAGAAAACUCCCUUACAUAGGAAAAAAUAUAACAACAAAUGUGAAUGUCACUCCCCUAGGGAAAUCCGUCAGCUGAUGGCUCUUAGGGUCUGUUACCACCCCCAGAACCAUCAAAAUAGAUGGGAUCGCCACAUGGGUCCACUACCCCCACGCCUGACCUGCAGACCCCUUGGUCAUAUCGGAGGACUACAAGGAAAAAAAAUGGAAGCUGUCCAAACACCCAAACAACCCACUCAAGCUGCACCUUCUUCAACAACACAACUCUUCCUCCUGAUACACCAUGGCUGCUAACACAAAUCCUCAUGUCCCACAAAACCUGACCUGGCAACUCUAUGAAACCUCAACUAGAAAAAUUCUGACCAAUUCUGCUGGGACUUCAAAGCCUCUUUAACUUUACAGCAAGUAUCCGGACAAGGGACCUGUGCAGGUUCCAUCCCGCCUCCCCACCCCAACUCUGUAAUCAAACUGACCCCACUGUUAACUCUGAGGGAUGCUUGAUCCCCCACAAUGACACUUGGUGCGCCCUGCGAACACACAAAAAUAAUCAAAGAGGGCUGGAGAGAUGGCUCAAAGGCUGUUCUUCCAGAGGUCAUGAGUUCAAUUCCCAGCAACCACAUCAUGGCUCACAGCCAUCUGU